AACGAACGCUGGCGGCGUGCCUAACACAUGCAAGUCGAGCGAGAAAGUCUCCGCAAGGGGGCGAGUAAAGCGGCGCACGGGUGCGUAGCACGUGGGCAAUCUGCCUGGAAGUCCGGAACAACCUUCCGAAAGGAGGGCUAAUACCAGAUAAGACCACGGGAGCCUCGGCUCCUGAGGUAAAAAGACAGCCUCUGCACGCAAGCUGUCACUUCCAGAGGAGCCCGCGGCCCAUCAGCUAGAUGGCGGGGUAAUGGCCCACCAAGGCGACGACGGGUAGCUGGUCUGAGAGGACGAUCAGCCACACUGGAACUGAGACACGGUCCAGACUCCUACGGGAGGCAGCAGUGGGGAAUUUUGCGCAAUGGGCGAAAGCCUGGCGCAGCAACGCCGCGUGAGUGAUGAAGGUCUUCGGAUCGUAAAGCUCCUUCGGCUGGGACGAAAACGGCUGGGUUAACAGCCCGGUCCUUGACGGUACCGGAAGAAGAAGCACCGGCUAACUCUGUGCCAGCAGCCGCCGUAAUAC
rnacentral:rRNA from 1 species